rnacentral:rRNA from 1 species
AAAUAUUGGGAGGCAUUGCCUGCCAGUGACAACUGUUUAACGGCCGCGGUAUCCUGACCGUGCAAAGGUAGCAUAAUCAUUUGUUCUCUAAAUAAGGACUUGUAUGAAUGGCCGCACGAGGGUUUUACUGUCUCUUACUUCCAAUCAGUGAAAUUGACCUUCCCGUGAAGAGGCGGGAAUGCACAAAUAAGACGAGAAGACCCUAUGGAGCUUUAACUAACCAACCCAAAGAGAAUAGAUUUAACCAUUAAGGAAUAACAACAAUCUCCAUGAGUUGGUAGUUUCGGUUGGGGUGACCUCGGAGAAUAAAAAAUCCUCCGAGCGAUUUUAAAGACUAGACCCACAAGUCAAAUCACUCUAUCGCUCAUUGAUCCAAAAACUUGAUCAACGGAACAAGUUACCCUAGGGAUAACAGCGCAAUCCUAUUCAAGAGUCCAUAUCGACAAUAGGGUUUACGACCUCGAUGUUGGAUCAGGACAUCCUGAUGGUGCAACCGCUAUCAAAGGUUCGUUUGUUCAACGAUUAAAGUCCUACGUGAUCUGAGUUCAGACCGGAA